CCUACGGGAGGCAGCAGUGGGGAAUUUUGGACAAUGGGCGCAAGCCUGAUCCAGCCAUGCCGCGUGUGGGAAGAAGGCCUUCGGGUUGUAAACCACUUUUGUCAGGGAAGAAACGGUCUGAACUAAUACUUUGGACUAAUGACGGUACCUGAAGAAUAAGCACCGGCUAACUACGUGCCAGCAGCCGCGGUAAUACGUAGGGUGCAAGCGUUAAUCGGAAUUACUGGGCGUAAAGCGUGCGCAGGCGGCUUUGCAAGACAGAUGUGAAAUCCCCGGGCUCAACCUGGGAACUGCAUUUGUGACUGCAUGGCUAGAGUACGGUAGAGGGGGAUGGAAUUCCGCGUGUAGCAGUGAAAUGCGUAGAUAUGCGGAGGAACACCGAUGCCGAAGGCAAUCCCCUGGACCUGUACUGACGCUCAUGCACGAAAGCGUGGGGAGCAAACAGGAUUAGAUACCCUGGUAGUCCACGCCCUAAACGAUGUCAACUGGUUNUUGGGAGGGUUUCUUCUCAGUAACGAAGCUAACGCGUGAAGUUGACCGCCUGGGGAAGUCGGCCGNAGUGAACGUUAAGAUGACG
rnacentral:rRNA from 1 species